CAACCUCAACUCAUAUGGGACUACCCCCUGAAUUUAAGCAUAUUAAUUAGGGGAGGAAAAGAAACUAACCAGGAUUUUCUUAGUAGCGGCGAGCGAAAAGAAAUCAGUUCAGCUCUAAGUCACUUUGUCUAUAUGGCAAACGUGAGAUGCAGUGUAUGGAGCGUCAAUAUUCUAGUAUGAGAAAUUAACGAUUUAAGUCCUUCUUAAAUGAGGCCAUUUACCCAUAGAGGGUGCCAGGCCCGUAUAACGUUAAUGAUUACUAGAUGAUGUUUCCAAAGAGUCGUGUUGCUUGAUAGUGCAGCACUAAGUGGGUGGUAAACUCCAUCUAAAACUAAAUAUAACCAUGAGACCGAUAGUAAACAAGUACCGUGAGGGAAAGUUGAAAAGAACUCUGAAUAGAGAGUUAAACAGUACGUGAAACUGCUUAGAGGUUAAGCCCGAUGAACCUGAAUAUCCGUUAUGGAAAAUUCAUCAUUAAAGUUGUAAUAUUUUAAAAAUAUUAUAAUAAUAGUGUGCAUUUUUUCCAUAUAAGGACAUUGUAAUCUAUUAGCAUAUAACAAAUUUAUCAUAAAAUAUGACUUAUAGUUUAUUCAAAUUAUUAUGCUUGCAUUUUAACAUAGAAUAAAUGUCAUUAAUUUGAUAGUGUUGAUAAAUUCAAUUUAAUACAGUGCGUUAAUAUUUCGAAAUUAUAUAAUGGCAUAAUUAUCAUCGAUUUUUGUGUUUAUUAUAUGCAUUUGUAUGAUUAACAAUGCGAAAGAUUCAGGAUACAUUCGGGACCCGUCUUGAAACGCGGACCAAGAAGUCUAACAUAUGUGCAAGUUAUUGGGAGAUAAACCUAAUAGCGUAAUUAACUUGACUAAUAAUGGGAUUAGUUUUUUAACUAUUUAUAGAUAAUUAACACAAUCGCGGGGCGUUCUAUAUAGUUAUGCAUAAUAAUAUUUAUAUUAAUUAUGCCUCUAACUAGAACGUACCUUGAGCAUAUAUGCUGUGACCCGAAAGAUGGUGAAAUAUAAUUGAUCAGGUUGAAGUCAGGGGAAACCCUGAUGGAAGACCGAAACAGUUCUGACGUGCAAAUCGAUUGUCAGAAUUGAGUAUAAGGCGAAAGACCAAUCGAACCAUCUAGUAGCUGGUACCUUCCGAAGUUUCCCUCAGGAUAGCUGGUGCAUUUUAAUGUUAUAUAAAAUAAUCUUAUCUGGUAAAGCGAAUGAUUAGAGGCCUUAGGGUCGAAACGAUCUUAACCUAUUCUCAAACUUUAAAUGGGUAAGAACCUUAACUUUCUUGAUAUGAAGUUUAAGGCUAUGAUAUAAUGUGCCCAGUGGGCCACUUUUGGUAAGCAGAACUGGCGCUGUGGGAUGAACCAAACGUAAUGUUACGGUGCCCAAAUUAACAACUCAUGCAAAACAGCGGGACGGUGAUCAUGGAAGUCGAAAUCCGCUAAGGAGUGUGUAACAACUCACCUGCCGAAGCAACUAGCCCUUAAAAUGUAUGGCGCUUAAGUUGUAUACCUAUACAUUACCGGUAAAGUAGAUGAUUUAUAUCACUUGUGAUAUAAAUUUUGAAAUUUUAGUGAGUAGGAAGGUACAAUGGUAUGCGUAGAAGUGUUUGCCGUAAGCCUUCAUGGAGCUGCCAUUGGCACAGAUCUUGGUGGUAGUAGCAAAUAAUCGAAUGAGACCUUGGAGGACUGAAGUGGAGAAGGGUUUCGUGAGAACAGUGGUUGAUCACGAGUUAGUCGGUCCUAAGUUCAAGGCGAAAGCCGAAAAUUUUCAAGUAAAAAAUCAGUGAGUAAUAUUGUCAAAUCUUUUAUGAUUUUUAAAUACUUGCAUAAUUUUGAACGAAAGGGAAUACGGUUCCAAUUCCGUAACCUGUUGAGUAUUCGUUUGUUAUUAAAUAUGGGCCUAGUAAUCUUCCUGGCAACAGGAACGACCAUAAAGAAGCCGUCGAGAGAUAUCGGAAGAGUUUUCUUUUCUGUUUUAUAGCCGUACUACCAUGGAAGUCUUUCGCAGAGAGAUAUGGUAGAUAGGCUACUGUUGUGUCGAUAUUUUCUCCUCGGACCUUGAAAAUUUAUGGUGGGGAAACGCAAACUUCUCAACAGGCCGUACCAAUAUCCGCAGCUGGUUUCCAAGGUGAAGAGUCUCUAGUCGAUAGAAUAAUGUAGGUAAGGGAAGUCGGCAAAUCCGUAACUUCGGGAUAAGGAUUGGCUCUGAAGAUUGAGAUAGUCGGGCUUGAUUGGGAAACAAUAACAUGGUUUAUGUGCUCGUUCUGGGUAAAUAGAGUUUCUAUCAUUUAUGGUAGUUACUUGUUCCCCGGAUAGUUUAGUUACGUAGCCAAUUGUGGAACUUUCUUGCUAAAAUUUUUAAGAAUACUUAUUGGGUUAAACCAGAUAGUUCUUAUUAAUUAUAACGAUUAUCAAUUAACAAUCAAUUCAGAACUGGCACGGACUUGGGGAAUCCGACUGUCUAAUUAAAACAAAGCAUUGUAAUGGCCCUAGCGGGUGUUGACACAAUGUGAUUUCUGCCCAGUGCUCUGAGUGUCAAAGUGAAGAAAUUCAAGUAAGCGCGGGUCAACGGGAGCCAAAUGCCUGGAUGAAAAUGGAUGAAAAUGAAUGGAUUAAAGAGAUUCCUACUGUCCCUAUCUACUAUCUAGCGAAACCACAGCCAAGGGAACGGGCUUGGAAUAAUUAGCGGGGGUAAGAAGACCCUUUUGAGCUUGACUCUAAUCUGGCAGUGUAAGGAGACAUAAGAUGUGUAGCAUAAGUGGGAGAUAUUAGAUUUCGGUUUGGACAAUGUUUCGACAAUGAAAUACACUACUCUUAUUGUUUCCUUACGGAUAUAUUUAUUAUAUCUUAUGGUAUUGGGUUUUGAUGCAAGCUUCUUGAUCAAAGUAUCACGAGUUUGUUAUAUAUAUAUAUAUAAUUAGCGGGGAAAGAAGACCCUUUUGAGCUUGACUCUAAUCUGGCAGUGUAAGGAGACAUAAGAUGUGUAGCAUAAGUGGGAGAUAUUAGAUUUCGGUUUGGACAAUGUUUCGACAAUGAAAUACACUACUCUUAUUGUUUCCUUACGGAUAUAUUUAUUAUAUCUUAUGGUAUUGGGUUUUGAUGCAAGCUUCUUGAUCAAAGUAUCACGAGUUUGUUAUAUAAUCGCAAACAAAUUCUUUAAUGAGAAAAUGCAUAUGUAUAUGUAUUUUCAAUUUGAAAAUUUGGUAUUACUCCAAUUACUCAGGUAUGAUCCAAUUCAAGGACAUUGCCAGGUAGGUAGUUUGCCUGGGGCGGUACAUAACUCAAAUAAUAACGGAGGUAUCCCAAGGCCAGCUCAGUGCGGACAGAAACCACACAUAGAGCAAAAGGGCAAAUGCUGACUUGAUCUCGGUGUUCAGUACACACAGGGACAGCAAAAGCUCGGCCUAUCGAUACUUUUGGUUUAAAGAGUUUUUAACAAGAGGUGUCAGAAAAGUUACCAUAGGGAUAACUGGCUUGUGGCGGCCAAGCGUUCAUAGCGACGUCGCUUUUUAUACCCGAUACUCAAAAUGAGUAUUGGGGUAUAUUAGAUUUGUGGUAAAAGUGGAUGUGUGUAACGUCCAGAAGGAAUCGUUACCGACCCCAUAAAGUAUAUAUAUUCUUGAUCAGCAUCAAUAGCCGAGUCGAUUGAGCCCUGUCUGUCUGUCCGUCUGUCCGUCCGUCCGUCCGUCCGUCCGUCCGUCCGUCCGUCCCCUUCAGUGCUCGAAGACUAUAAGAGCUAGAGCAACGAUGUUUUGGAUCCAGACUUCUGUGAUAUGUCACUGCUACAAAAAUAUUUCAAAACUUCGCCUCGCCCACUUCCGCUCCCACAAAGGACGAAAAUCUGUGGCAUUCACAAUUUUAAAGAUAUGAGAAAACCAAAAACGUAGAAUUGUAGAGAAUGACCAUAUCUUUAAGACUGCGGAAUCUGAAUUGGAUCGUAUUAUUAUUAUAGCCAGCAUCAAGAAAACAAUUUAAUUUUUUCUCGCCCUGUGUCUCUCUAACACACACGUAGCAUAGGCGGCUUUGCUUAGAGUAAAACAUUAGCGCCUAGAUAUCAGAGACUAUAAAAGCUAGAGCAACCAAAUUUGGUAUCCACACUCCUAAUAUAUCGGACCGAGACGAGUUUGUUUCAAAAUUUCGCCACACCCCCUUCCGCCCCCGCAAAGGACGAAAAUCUGAGGAUAUUCAAAAAUCUCAGAGACUAUUAAGGCUAGAGUAACCAAAUUUGGUAUCCGCACUUCUGUUAGAUCUUACUAUAAAACGUGUAUCUCAAAAUUUCGCCCCACCUUCUUCCGCCCACACAAAGCACGAAAAUCUGUUGCAUCCACAAUAUUGCACAUUCGAGAAAACUAAAAACGCAGAAUCAUAGAUAAUGACCAUAUCUAUCAGAUUGCUGAAUCUGGAUCAGAUCAGAUCAUUUUUAUAGCCAAUAGGAACAAAUCAAUUUGCAGUGGUUACGCAGCGCCCGACGUCACGCUCAGACUGAUUUUCUGUCUCUCUCGCACGCACUCUUUGUCGUGUCGUUUAAUAUUAGCGGCGUCUGCCGGAGGAGAGCCAUACUGACUUAGUAUCGGGUAUAACCGUAGAGUUGCGGUGUCCGCAGCAACUCACAACGUUCCCCCUCGUUGAUCCUUCGAUGUCGGCUCUUCCUAUCAUUGUGAAGCAAAAUUCACCAAGCGUUGGAUUGUUCACCCAUGCAAGGGAACGUGAGCUGGGCUUAGACCGUCGGGAGACAUGUUAGUUUUACCCUACUAAUGACAAAACGUUGUUGCGACAGCAUUCCUGCGUAGUACGAGAGGAACCGCAGGUACGGACCAAUGGCACAAUACUUGUUCGAGCAAACAGUGGUAUGACGCUACGUCCGUUGGAUUAUGCCUGAACGCCUCUAAGGUCGUAUCCGUGCUGGACUGCAAUGAUAAAUAAGGGGCAAUUUGCAUUGUAUGGCUUCUAAACAAUUAAAAGUUUAUAAUUUAUUGUAUAAACGACAAUGGAUGUGAUGCCAAUGUAAUUUGUAACAUACUAAAUUGGGAGGAUCAUCGAUCACCUGAUACCGCGCUGGUUGUAUAUAAAAACAUUAUUUAACACAAUGACAAAGUCUAGAAUCAAUUGUAAACGACUUUUGUAACAGGCAAGGUGUUGUAAGUGGUUGAGCAGCUGCCAUACUGCGAUCCACUGAAGCUUAUCCUUUGCUUGAUGAUUCGA